AUGAGGGCGGUGGCGAUCGCGAGCCCCGGCGGGCCGGAGGUGCUGGAGGAGCGCGAGGUGGAGGACCUCGCGGCGCCGGGGGACGGCGAGGUGCUCCUCGGGGUGGCCGCCGCCGGCGUCAACCGCACCGACACGGUCCAGCGGCAGGGCGGGUACCCGGCGCCGUCCGGCGCCUCGCCCUACCCGGGGGUCGAGUGCUCCGGCUCCAUCCUCGCCCUCGGGGCCAACGUCCACCCGCGCUGGGCCGUCGGCGACCAGGUGUGCGCGCUGCUUAACGGCGGCGGGUACGCGGAGAAGGUGGUGGUGCCGGCGGCGCUGCUGCUCCCGGUGCCGGAGGGGGUGUCGCUGACGGACGCCGCCGGCUUGCCCGAGGUGGCCUGCACCGUCUGGUCCACCGUCUUCAUGACCAGCCAUCUCUCCCCCGGCGAAUCCUUCCUUAUCCAUGGCGGAUCAAGCGGAAUCGGCACAUUUGCCAUACAGAUCGCAAAGCACCUCGGAAUUAAGGUUUUUGUUACUGCAGGAAGCGAAGAAAAAUUAGCUGCUUGCGCAGGUUUGGGUGCGGAUGUAUGCAUAAACUACAAAACUGAAGAGUUUGUAGCACGUAUCAAAGAAGAAACUAAUGGAAAGGGUGUCGAUGUCAUUUUGGACAACGUCGGCGGACCUUAUCUCCAGCGCAAUCUGGACAGCUUAGCAGUUGAUGGUAGGCUUUUCAUCAUUGGUUUCAUGGGAGGCACCGUGACCGAAGUGAACCUGCAGGCGAUGCUUGCCCGAAGAUUGACCAUACAAGUUGCUGGGCUGCGCAGCAGAAGCCUGGCCAAUAAAGCUCAGAUCGUCAGCGAGGUGGAGAAAAAUGUAUGGCCAGCCGUUGCAUCGGGCAAGGUGAAGCCGGUGAUUUACAAGACGCUCCCUCUUUCUGAGGCAGCAGAAGCUCACAAGCUGAUGGAGUCAAGCUCCCACAUUGGCAAGAUACUACUGAUUCCAUGA
rnacentral:rRNA from 1 species